UACAGAGACCUCAAGCGUUAUCCGGAAUCAUUGGGCGUAAAGCGUACCGAUAGGUGGUUCAUUAAGUCUGGGGUAAAAGCCGGAAGCUCAACUUCCGCGUUUGCUUUAGAUACUAAUGGACUAGAGGGGCAAAGAGGUGCUUGGAACCAACGGUGUAGUAGUGAAAUGCGUUGAUAUCGUUGGGAACGCCGAAAGCGAAGGCAGAGCACUGGGUGCCACCUGACACUGCUAGGACGAAAGCGUGGGGAGCGAAUGGG
rnacentral:rRNA from 1 species